UAUAUCUUUUUCUAAAAUAUGAAGGUUUAAUUUACAAGACAAUUUGAAUUUUAACGUACGUAGGCGGUCUACACUGACGUCAUCAACAUGGCGUUACAACUUGUGAGGUAUCGAGUAUCGAGUACUUAUGGCUGUCACUUGCAUUGUCAUACAUGCCGCAGCCUACUUCACGUCGCUGAAUAUAUUGGGAGUGACUAAGUCUAAUGUGCAAAGUGUGAGAGCAAAAUACACGGAUAAAGAAAACGCAUUAAGAAACGGCGGCGCGUAAGGAUUAUUGGAUUUUACACUUACACAGACAUACAAACACGAGUAUCCCAACCAGUAGGAGCAGGAGGAACAAGUAAUUUAAUCACACAA